CAGCAGAACAGCUAACACCAGAUCUCAGGCUGGCAGGAGAGAAGAACCAUGCUCAGAUUGUCUCACCUCAGGUAACUUAAACAAACCUAAACAAUUUUCAUCCUGGCUGAUGAAGCUUUCACUAAGUACCACAGCCGUCCAGAGCUGGUGCUUGCCCCCAGCAUGAGAAAUUCUUCAGUCAAGUCUUUGCCAAACCACAAAUCCAAGGACUAGACAAAAUGGAACAGGAGAAGGUGAAACCAAGGAAUAUCAGCUGAAAACGGAACUUGGCAAGAAGUUUAGAAGGGCAGCAAAAGACACCACUGUCUCAUGAAAGCUCAUUUCUCUGACCUACACACUGAACUCCACCUGGAGUUACACUUCAUUAAACUACUGUUACCCUGUCUGUAAACUCCAAACUGGACAAUUACCAUUCUUUGAUUAAUCCAGAAUAAGAAAAAUGGAUACUUUAAUUUGGUCAGACUUGAUAGACAAGCUUUGUGCUCAGGUCCUUAGGUAAACUCCCUUGUCUCUCUCACAGGUCAUAAAAAGGCAUUUUCUUAUGCAAAGUUUACAGAGGUUCUGUAACAUUUAUGCAAGAGAAUACAGCAGAGCUAUGCAGUGAGUGCGCCUGAAAGGGAAAAAUGUACUUUGACUCUCAACAAGCACUUAGGGAAGACAUGGACAAUGAAACUCAUAACCUGGAACACUCUUUGAGUAACACUGAUUAAUACAAACCCUUGCACAUUCAAAAGCUAUUGCAUUACCAUCGACCUGGUUGAGUGAAAUCCUUUUGAAAUUCAUUGUUUAUACCACCACCAGCUACUUAUACCCAGAAGUACUAGUCAGUUACAGCACUUGACUAAAAAUAAGAAACAUAAUCACCUUUUAAAGCAGCUUAUCUAACAUUUAUACUCAGCUCUAGCAGCAUGCCCCAACUCCCCACCCAGCACUAUCCAGUGAUUUUGGUCAGGCAGUUUUUAGGAACAACCAUUGCUAUGCUGCAUCUCUGCCUCCAGAAAUGAGCUCCCCAUGCCAGGCCAGGCAUGACUACACAGCUUCACUCUGUGAUGGGGAAAGAGUCUGCCUGAACACGAGAGGAGCAAGAUGCAGAGCUUUCUGCAGCUUAAGGCUGUGAACCAUGGGCAGUAAAACCUGAGCAAUACAGCUGAGAACCAGCUGCAGUCCUGGUUAUCCCCUGUACCAUGAUUGUCCCAUUUCUAAAAAAAAAAACCACCCAAAACAUGAACCAUAGUAAGUGCAUGCAGCUCCAGUCAGAGAUCCACAGGUACCCAUGCUUUUUGUACUGCUUUUGCUCUUGUAAAAACCAUUGUAUGGGUUUUUAUGUAGGAAUCCAUACACUACGUGCACUACAGCAUGAAACUAGAAAUAAGAUCUAUUAUUUUUGGAGUAAGUUGUGUUUUCUUUAGCUAAGCCAAGAUAAAUGCAAAGUAAAUGCAGUAGCUAUGCUGACAUUUUUCAACUGUCACUUGAUCUAUUUUAAACAGUUAAUACUUAAGGCAACUAUGGUUUUAAAACAUUUACUUUAAUACCUAUUUACUGCACAACAAUGCUGUUGUGUGCUUUAGUUUAUAAGCCUUUUGUAAACCAAACAAACCACUUCCACAAAAUCCCAUGUGCUGUAAGAGUAUCAGUUCAACACCUGGGCACCUGGAAUUUUUUGUUUUUUUCUUUUCACAAUUCUCUUUCCAAGGCAGUGCAGUUGGAGAAGCUAAGUCUGAGCACUCUGACUGACAGGGGGUCAGUAAAUAAUCAGUGCCACCAGUUGUGUAUCAAUCUUUCCAUCUUCUCAUCUGAACAACUGAGCUUCUGUCAACCAACUCCAGAAAAACUACCUUUUUAAAAGGCUUCACAAUAAUAAGAAACAAACUGAGCUUUUUUCCUAAGCUCAGUCCUGUAUAUUGUGGAAGUUCAGCAGUGUCCAGGGGAAGUGCAGCCUCCUCAUCCAUUUGAAGAGGAAUUAUCAGUGAGAGCCCUCGGUGACCUACCCCGAAAUAAAAGUGAGAGACAACACAGAGAUAUGACCACGAUCACAGAACUCAUAUGGUAACUCCCCAAACUGCAGAAAUCAUUUAAUCACAGCCCUCUCCAGAUAAAAAGCAGCUCAUGUUAAAGCACUAUAAAUCACAUCCCACCCAAGAGUGGAAUUUUCUAAGAGAUUUGAUGUAAAUCACAAAAAUGGGCAACACUGUGAUCAAGAUUUAUAUGCCAAC